UUCUCCAAGAUGGAGGGGGAAAUCAGUAAAGGAUAGGAGAAUUCUGAGGAAGUCUUUUGACAACAGCCUUAAGGAAGCCAUUAAACAGCUCCUCAUUCACAUUGUGCCCAUGAAGUGGCAUUUAAAUGACCGGAAGCUGUACUCUAUGAGGCUUCUCACUUUCUCCUUUUUUUCCUAUUAGCAUCCAUAAAGUACAAAUACAAACAAAGGACUGAAGGAGAAGAACUGUGCAGCUGUGACCUGAGUGAACACAUAUGCAAAAUGGAGGCAGGGUGAGCAUGAGAACAAAGAUACUAUGGGCUUUUCUUUGGCUAGACAACCGCAGUUUGAACUGGAUGUGUGUAAGCCAGGAAGUAGCACAUAUGGACAGAGAUCCCAUUUGUCUUACAGUGAUGGUUAGGAUGCUAUGGUGCUGUUUUGAUCACAAGAUUUUGACUUAAGGCCUGGUUUUAGCUUUGGAGACACGUAAUGUCUGAACGUGUGGCGAUGGCAUCUACACCACAAAUGUUGUUCUGCGUGGCUUUGGUCCUCUCAGCAUUCUGAUUAUGUUUGGCAAAGCCUCUCUCUGUUACCUCCAUUGCAAGAAAACAUCCGUGACAGCUUUUCAGCCACAGGAAUUAUCAGUGAAGGUACUCUGUUGAGCACUGGUUGGACAUGCUCAGUGACCUGGACCAGAACCCUUGGUUUGUGAUGUGGGAUUCUAAAAGAGGAUUAUGACAAGAGUACAAGCAUAGAGCUACCACCCUGCAGUUGCAGAGCAGUGUGUCCCAGUUCUCCCUUCUGGACAGGAACAGAGGCUGCCUGGAACCUCUUUAACACCUUUUCCAAAUCUGUUCCACUGGGUUCAGUAAAAAACCCUGUAAUUUCCUACAGUUUGUUCUGCAUCUGUUCAGGUAGUACUACCACUAACAUUUAUACCAGAAAUGUCAGCACUCUCUGUCAAACAGGCAUUUCCUGGAAAAGCCUGACAUUUCUCAGUGGAAGUUCUUUCUUCUUUUUCUCCCUUGGGAAUGAAAUAAGCAACACAUCCCUGCCAAUGAGAGCCAUGAAACUUCUGUGUUCUGUACCUAAUUCUGAAGAAGAGAUUUAUUUCAGACUUGGUCUUCAGCUGAUACAGAGAAGUGAAUCCACAGAUUUCACAUAUCUGACAGUCAGCAAUGCUAGACAGCAUCAAACACAUCAUCAGAGUUGCCCUGGCUGUUAUUCAAUGAGAAAAGAUGGAGCAGAGCACCAGCGUAUCCUGAGAAAUCAAUAAAGCUGGAGCCUCUUGUGUAAAUCUCUCACAAAGCCAACAGAACCAUUCAUAAAUUUUAAAGGUUCAGUGAAGAAAAAAGUAUACUUGAGCUACAAAAAGCAAGUUCUUCCCAGAGCCUAAAUGACACUCAUCAUGUGAGUAGAUGUGACAAGGAUACAUUUAUAAAAGGCUUUUGUUUUGG